GUCCUCUUAUACGCUCUAUGACUGUUUAAUUUUGGCAACAAUAGCAUUAUGGUCACAAUUUGCUGGUGGGCUAAGUGUAAAUUGACUCGUACAAUACAUAGGGAGUAAGUCCAAAAUGAUUUCAUUAGUUGCAGUGAUUCGAGUCGGUUCCUCAAUUAAUGGAACAAUUGCUCUCCUGCCAGCUAACUGAGCUAAGAAUUAAGAAUAGACACAUACAGCUUUUGUGUGGGAGAAUGGGUUAUGGGGGUGAAGUACUCCUGUUACAAUAAGUGUCACAUUAUAUGUAUAUUUAACCAAACAGACUCUUUAUGUCCUUAUAUUUCAUCCUGCGGGGUAUAUAUAAGGCCCGCUCUGAUAACCCUAGGGGUAAUGGUCCCUAGGGCUGCCCGGGGGAUAAGGGUCCCCAGAGCUGCUCUGGGGGUAAGGGUCCCCAGAGCACAUGCCAGAAGGGUAGCGACCCCCUCUGACCUUAUUAACCUGAACCAAGGGGUAAGGGUCCCUUGGACAGUUCCUAUAACUCGGCCGAUUAUAUUUACAUUGAAUGAGUCUAUGCAUGGGCAUGAAGGUGACCUUUGGGAGCACUUCAACCCCACAAAUACAAUAAAGUGUAUCUGACACUUGAGUGUAUUCCCCAUAGACGAACAAUCCCACUCCCACAACAGCUGUAUUCAUAUAGAGGACAGCUUUUGCCAGAUGAUAGUAAGGCUUGUGCAUGUUUGAGAAUUACCAUCGCUUAUACUACAGCUGGAUAGUCAGGGAGGCCAGGAAAAACCUGCAAUACAGGAAACCUGAAUGGGGCCAAGACAAUUAACCAGCAGCUUCCCCACAAAGCUUCUAUGUUACAACUUCUCAAUAGGAGCGUUGGUAACGCGACAAACAUAGCUCUAUCUUGGCAAUUUUUUUUUUUUUAUUUUAAUUUUUUUUUUAAAAUUCAUUUAUUCUUUCACUCAGUUUUAAGUGUUUUUGAAGAGACCCAAUAUUUGCCGAACUCUUUGUCUAGCCAAAUCGUUUGCUUGGUGAAGUAACUACUAAUUAAUUAAGCAUAGAGGAUUAGAGCGUUUCCAGUUGAGACAUAAAUCUUGGAAUAGAGCCUAUGUAGGCAUAAAACUUUAUUACACUUCCCGAAUGAGAAAGUUUAUUAAUUAAAAUACCGUUUGUCUGUUUUCCGGUCGAGAAAACGAUGGUGAAAUGGCAGUCGCGUUUAAUGCAGUGGACGAUAACAGACAGAACAUAUUUUUGACUUUUUUGUUUAAUAUUGUUGCAGUUUGCUUGAAUUUUUCAACGUAUCAUAAAGGAAAGUAUUCGUAUAAUACAG